rnacentral:rRNA from 1 species
UAAAGCAGAUAUUGAUCCAAACUUCCCGACGUUCAAUAGGGAUUCGAUUCCGGAGAGGGAGCCUGAGAAAUGGCUACCACAUCCAGGAAGGCAGCAGGCGCGCAAAUUACCCAAUCCCGACACGGGGAGGUAGUGACAAUAUGUAACAAUAUACGGCUUUAUAGGUCUUAGAAUUGGAAUGAGUACAAUUUAAAUCCCUUAACGAGGAACAAUUGGAGGGCAAGUCUGGGGCCAGCAGCCCCGGUAAUUCCCGCUCCAAUGGCGUAAUUUAAAGUUGUUGCAUUUAAAAAGCUCGUAUUUGGACCUUGGACCUGGACGGGCGGUCCCCCCCACGGCGAGUACUGUCUUGCUGGGCCUUUCCCCUUGGUGAUCUGUUGUUUCGGCAGCAGGGAACCAGGACCUUUACUUUAAAAAAUUUAGAGUGUUCAAAGCGGGCUCAACCCCGGAUUAUUUUAGCAGGGAAUAAUAAAAUAGGACUUGCGGUUCUUUUUUGUUGUUUUUUGGAAUCCCCUUAAUGAUAAAAAGGGACAGUCGGGGGCAUUAGUACUCACAUGCUAAAGGUGAAAUUCUUGGAUUUUUUGAAGACAAAUUUUCUGCGAAACCAUUUGCCAAGGGAUUUUUUUCAUUAAUCAGAAAGAAAGGGUAGGGUUUUCGAAAACGAUUAGAUACCCGUUGUUAGUCUUUAAAGUAAACUUUCCCCAACAAG